CGAGGCUGUUUUUGACUCGUGUCGUGAGAUGUUGGGUUAAGUCCCGCAACGAGCGCAACCCUUUUCCUUAUUUGCCAGCGGGUUAAGCCGGGAACUUUAAGGAUACUGCCAGUGACAAACUGGAGGAAGGCGGGGACGACGUCAAGUCAUCAUGGCCCUUACGACCAGGGCUACACACGUGCUACAAUGGUCGGUACAAAGGGUUGCUACCUAGCGAUAGGAUGCUAAUCUCAAAAAGCCGAUCGUAGUCCGGAUUGGAGUCUGCAACUCGACUCCAUGAAGUCGGAAUCGCUAGUAAUCGCGGAUCAGAAUGCCGCGGUGAAUACGUUCCCGGGCCUUGUACACACCGCCCGUCACACCAUGGGAAUUUGUUGCACCAGAAGUAGGUAGUCUAACCGCAAGGAGGACGCUUACUCACGGUG
rnacentral:rRNA from 1 species